UACGAAGGGUGCAAGCGUUAAUCGGAAUUACUGGGCGUAAAGCGAGCGUAGGUGGUUGAGUAAGUUGGAAGUGAAAUCCCCGGGCUCAACCUGGGAACUGCUUUCAAAACUGCUGAGCUAGAGUACGGUAGAGGGUGGUGGAAUUUCCUGUGUAGCGGUGAAAUGCGUAGAUAUAGGAAGGAACACCAGUGGCGAAGGCGACUACCCGGACUGAGACUGACACUGAGGUGCGAAAGCGUGGGGAGCAAACAGG
rnacentral:rRNA from 1 species